CGCGGGCACGCGUGGAUGCGCUCUCCGGCCCCCGGGCGAGCCGGCCCCGAGGCCUAAUAAUACAAUGUCAGCUGGAAGGGUACGAACAAAGAAAAAGGCAUGUUCUUCAGAGCAGUCUCCAGACAGCCUUCCUCUGAGGAGUUCUGGAAGACAGGUGAAGAAGAAAGCAGCCGAGGCAACAGAUGAUGAUGAUGAUGCAUCAGAAAAGAAAUACAGGAAAUGUGAGAAAGCUGGAUGCACUGCAACGUGUCCCGUUUGCUUUGCCAGCGCAGCCGAAAGGUUUGUUUAUUUUCAUUUCAUGGACU
rnacentral:lncRNA from 1 species